rnacentral:rRNA from 1 species
GACGAACGCUGACGGUGUGCUUUAGACAUGCAAGUCGAGCGAGAAAGCCCUUCGGGGUUAGUAAAGCGGCGAACGGGUGAGUAACACGUGGGCAAUCUGCCCCUCGCAGGGGGACAACCGGGGGAAACUCCGGCUAAUACCCCGUAAGUUUCCAGAGUCGCAUGGCUUUGGAAAGAAAGGUAGCUUCGGCCAUCCGGCGAGGGAUGAGCCCGCGGUACAUUAGCUAGUUGGUGGGGUAACGGCCUACCAAGGCGCGANGUAUAGCUGGUCUGAGAGGAUGAUCAGCCACACUGGGACUGAGACACGGCCCAGACUCCUACGGGAGGCAGCAGUCGGGAAUCUUGCACAAUGGGCGAAAGCCUGAUGCAGCAACACCGUGUGAGCGAUGAA